AGGAUGAACGCUGGCGGCGUGCCUAAGACAUGCAAGUCGAGUGGGUUUAGACCCACGGCGAACGGGUGAGUAAUACCUAGGAACUUUUUUCAAGUCGAGGAUAUCCUUCCGAAAGGAAGUGCAAUACUCGAUGUGGACGCAAGUCUAAAGUCGCAAGACGCUUGAAGCAAGGCCUGGGCACCAUCAGCUAGUUGGCGAGGUAAUGGCUCACCAAGGCUACGAUGGGUAGCUGGUCUGAGAGGACGAUCAGCCACACUGGGACUGAGACACGGCCCAGACUCCUACGGGAGGCAGCAGUGGGGAAUCUUGCGCAAUGCGCGAAAAGCGUGACGCAGCAACGCCGCGUGGGGGAAGAAGGCCUUAGGGUUGUAAAAGUCCUUUUAACGGGGAAGAUAAUGACGGUACCCGUAGAAUAAGCCCCGGCUAACUUCGUGCCAGCAGCCGC
rnacentral:rRNA from 1 species